UAAUACAAUCAAAGUAAUUCAGGUGGGAGAAGCGGAUGAAUAUAACGAUGUAAUGUGAUCGGUCAGGCUUUCAGUAAUAACAGCAACAUCACCAUAGUGGAGUAAGAGUUUUGACAGAUAGUGGAGUUACAAUUUUUAAGGAAUCGUAUAGAUAAAUAAUGUCAAAGGCGUAUUGCGUAUUUGCAGUUUGUGUUUUCAUAAGCUGGACUAUAACAUCAAAUGAUGCCACAUUCGCCGCUGGAUUCAAAUACUGCCUUUACGAAGUGUGCAAACUGCAUGGAACUGUGGGGUGACUAUCUGUAUGACGGUGAAAAAUGUGCUACCUGUUGUCGCUAUAGCAACGGAAUCAAGGCUGAUCCUCAAUGCAAAGUGUGGGUAACUAAUAGGAUAAACUACUCCAAAAAAGAUCAAGAGUAUGUAAAAGGCAUUUUACUUCAACGAAGACGAUUGGAUAAUGGAUUAAUGAGUAAACGGUGGGAUGAAAAUGUCAAUUACAAUUCAAUUUAUGGAGGCGAAAAGAUGCCAAGCUAUUGUUUCGAAUGAGUCUAGCUCAUACUUAAACAUUCAGAUUAGCAUGAAAAUGAAAACAGACAUGGUAAAAGUGCUCAAAUUUUUAAUUACCUAUUUGGUACUGUACUCGAAAACAGGUUCGUGUGAAGUUAUAUCGCCUAAGCUUAUAUUUAGUCAUUAUCAAAUUACAUGUAUGAUUUUGUAAAUUAGAGUUGUCUACAUUUUGAGAACAUUGCCUACAUCCAAACAUCAUAGUAAAAGUUCCCAAUUUUGAUUGAUUGCCAGCUUGUUUGAACAGAUCAAUGUGAAACUAUACUAAAUUUAUAUGGGAAUACCAACUGUAGUGACAGCAAGUACACUACUGCGAGGAAACGUUCAUAUAUAAAUUCUAAUAUUUACAAUUUAAAUAUUACCCCUAGGGAGGAAUGUUUCAGAGUUCACAACGCUCUACAAGCCAUGCUUAUGUAAAGUCGAGCUACAAGAUACAUAGAUUUGUCCGGACGCAACCCAAAGAAAUCGAACAUUUGAAAGAAGCAUAACACACUUUGUUAGUUGAUGAUUAUGUCAUUUCAGAGAUUUAUAACUUCAAAGGUAUAUCAUCACUUGGUCUAUUGGAACGCUUAGGACAAAAUAAUAAACAAACUGUAAAUAUAUAAUGUAAAUCUGGUGUACACUAAUUUCUAUUUGUGAAUGAAAUACAUUUGUCCAUUUCUGAAAAUCACAUGUUAUUCAUUCAAAAACGGACGCUUGAAAACCGCGAUUUAUUUCUUAGAUAUACCUAGUAGAUUUCUGAUGUGCUUAUUAAAACCUGUGUACAUUGCAUAAAGAACAAAUUGCUUGAAUUGUAGCUAAAUCUAAUUCAAUGUGUUAGUGGCAAAAUGAAUAUAAAUUGAAAUUUAAAGUAGAAUGAUGGAGACAAACGUAAAGAAACGAUAUAUUAUUACUCUGUUUGCUUCCUUAUUUUUUGUCAGAGAAUGUACAGUUUACUUACAAGACAAUUGUUAUUGAAUUGAUAAAAUAGAAAUAAAUGCAAGGUGCUAGAUACA
rnacentral:lncRNA from 1 species